GCCCCGAUAACUCAAAUGGAUAGAGUAACGCUCUUCUAAAGCGUAAGUUCUGCGUUCGAAUCGCAGUCGGGGUA
rnacentral:tRNA from 1 species